AAAGAGAAGGUGUGAAUAUUAUUGACCCGAGAAACGGGCCAGUUAAUUCACUAAUUAACGGAGGUUCCCACACAAUACGUUUCCCCGUGUGAAUACUGUACAGCUAUCAGUUCAUCCACGCUCACGAGGCUUCCACUCUGAUUCCCCCAGCAGAUCAUUAUUCACGUCUUAAAGGGUUAAUGUACACUCUGUUAUGUGGAACGUAAAGCUACGUACAGGGAGAUAAUGAGUCAGAUUUAUUUAUAGUUCAUAAAUAAACAGCCAGCCGUUGGAUCGUCUCACUAUGUGGGACGUGGGAUAGAAAGGCUGAGCAGUCCCUCGUAAAGUGGGACACCUGGUCACCCUGUCUCAGGCGUGUUAGGACGGAGAUGAUUCUAAAACGGUGCUGAAACGCUCGUGUGUACGGAGACGGAUGUAGCCUCUAAUGUGUGUGUUUGUUUUUCUGCAUCCAUCCUACAGAGUCGCAGUGAGUCCUUACACGGAGACACUGAGUCCCUGAAACUGCAGCAGCUGAAAGGAACUGGACCUUCAUUAAUCUUAUUAUUCACUCCGGUGCUUUUCCUGCUGUGACAUGUCAAAAUGUCUGCUGUGAAAAGAACCGUCCACCACGAGGCGAUGAAAUACCUGAACAGAGGAGCAAACCUCCAGCUGGAGAGGAAACUAAACUGGUGUGUGUGAUGAUUCAUCGUCUCCGGCAAAACAGCAGCUUUUCAGUCUGGAGAACAACAUUAGGAAUCAUUCAACCUCCCAGACUUCACUAGCAGCAACUGUUUAAAGGGAGAGUGUGUAGGAUUUGGCGGCAUCUGGUGGUGUAGUCGCUCACUCCUCCCUACCCAAGACGUAACGCGAGCCGCUGAGUGCAAAACCGUGGUAACGCUGUUCUCCUCGCUCAGAGGCCACCUAACCCGAUUAACUAGGGUGGUAAACAAAAUAAAACGAUUCACCUCUGGAUCACGAUUACUUUCUUUCCAAUUUUGAAAUAGAUGUUUUAACACCAGAAUGGAUCUAUCUGCUUCAUCUGAGUCUAUGUGGAGGUAGAAUGAAGUUACAGCUUU